GGGGAUGUCUUGGUUUCGACGGGGGUGUGGAAACCGGAUAAGCGAGCCGCAGUUUGUCCAGUCUGCGCUAAAAGGGACACGUUAAAUAUAAACGCUAAAAGAACAAACAAUUUCGCACUGGCAGCGUAGUUCUGCCCCGCGCGUUCUCUCAGAUUCACCUGCAGGUCUGAAUCAGAACGUCAAACAUGCAGGAAAACCUUGUGUGAUUUCCUGGUAGCAUAAGGGACUUACAGGAUAGCUGAUACUGCAGCCUGCUAUUGGGCGUCAGAGGAUGCGAAACUUUAAAUCAAUAGCUGCGCUCGGAGAAAAUCCGUUGGAAAUGCUUUCGGACACGGGUUCGAUUCCCGUCAUCUCCACCA
rnacentral:tmRNA from 1 species